GACCUCAUCUCACCGUGGGGCAACGUGUACGGGUGGCGACGUACGUGAGCACCACUGCGAUCUAAGGCUGCUUGGCGGCUCUAUCUAUCCAAGAGCCCUGGCGCGCAGCCACAGCAGGCUGCCGGGCCCGGGUGCUGAUUUUGUCCCAUAUCCAAGCGAUCCAGAUGGAAUGUAUGCUCGGAGGGCGUGCAUAAAAUAAAGGAACAUUACCAAUGUGGGAAAGGUUGGCUUGUGUGUGCGACGGCGCUUCUGGUUUCAUAACCAUGUGUCUUGGCCUUUUACGGGUGGCCCUGCGAGCCUAGUGGUACGAAUGAGUACGACUGUUACAUCAUGUGGGUCGAAUAUAUGCUGGGGAAGCGCUGUCUUGUCCGACAAGGACGCGCCUUGGUUUUCCUACCCCACCUUCCCCGGGCGGUCAUGUACUGAGUUCCACAUCCGUGGAAGUGGGUCGCACUGGGCAAAUUAGGAGCACGGGGCGGCCGCGGUACGGGGUUGACUUGCAUGGCUAACAGCUCUGGUGCUCAGGAUCUGUGUGCCUCCUGUUGUGGUGUACCGCGAGAGCUUCCCUAGCCGUCUUGGGGGGUUAGAGGUGCCUGGGUGAGCUGCAGGAGGCCGCACUACAGUUUUCGAACGAGUGAGAUCCGGGUCUUCGUCUGCCGCUUGUGGCCUUAAAGAUGGACGGUGUGGCUAAUACGAGUGCAUAACUUGGUGAAAGUGGGAGUGGCGGGAGGCACCAAUAUGGUGCGGUGGUGGGUUCAGGGCAAAAGGCAUUGUGGACACACAGGGUCCGACAGAUGCCUCCAGCGAUCAUGUGGGGGUCGACUACACGGAUAGGAGCGAGGACGAUGGCCGAAGAAUGCGGGGUUACUGUUUCAGUGCUUUUUCUGUGCGCGGACGAUUAUCGUUCGGUGAUGGGGAGCGGGAGCGAGCAGAAGAUCGGACAUAUCCUGGACGCAGGGGGAUUGCAGAAGGCGCCAAAGGGGGGCGCCUCGGAACGGGGGGCCAGUCGCCCAAUCACGGCAUCCUGGGACCGGCUGUGGUUUUGUACAGAUGUCGAGAAGCUGGGGGGUUUCCUGGGCCCAAUGGGUGUCCCGAAGAGAAAGCUGAGAGUUGCAUGCACAUGAUUUGCUUCUCGGGGGUUUUUCCUCAGGGUUUACGACAGGACCACUCCGGUCCGAUGGAAUUUAGCACAUGGAGGUUUGGAUCAUGGCCCCAAAAAUGAUUCACCUCUGUACAGUGCAUGAAAUUGUACGGCUAGACGUGUGACUAAACCGAAGCCAUUUUCGCUACAUAGACGGCCAAGACAGCCCUAGUGUCUGAAAACUACAUAAGGUCUCUAAUUCGACACAACACGCACUCCAGGUUGGCAAGGCCAUCAGUUUGCGUUUCAAUCCGGAACGAGCUGUGCAACGUGAAAGUGACAAAUCCUGGGGUGACAGCUAAACCAAAACCCGGCACGGACUUGCAGGUCCGCACGCAUGGUGCCAAAUUAUCUUCAUGAACACUGCUGAAUGGGGAAAGUGAUGUCCCAGCGUACAUGCCGCCCAAGGCAAUGGCAUCCACACCGAGGCCACCGGUACGCGGCGUGCUUAUCCCCCACACAAACGAAUUGAUAUCAAAUCGACACGCCCUGUCUUGACAUUCCCGACGGCUUGCAUGCGGGAACGUCGUGCACGCGUACUGCGCAACCACGCGGCAUAGGCUAUACACUCACUCACAAACUCAUGUGCACAAUCACGCACUGUACAGCAUUGCGGGCAGCUGGGGUAUCUUCGGUUAGUGGCUGGUGCAUGGCGAGCGAUGAUGCAAGGCUUACUCCCCUUCCGUGACCUUCAUCGCAGACGACGCCCAUUGCAGUUCAUGUCGUUGCUUGGGGCUUUCCACGUCAUGGUACGGAGCUGCGGGUCUUGGAGGGGGCCUCUAUCUGCUGGUUCAUGGUUGGCUUGCGGCGGGAAGCACCGGUGAUCCGGUCGGAUUUAGUACAACGUUAAUCAGUCAACUUGAAUUGAGGCAACCACAUGCAGCCUUGACAAUUCUACCUACCGCCCUGGUGAGAUUUGGUCCGGGCAUUUGCGUGUGCGUGUGGGCGACUUAUAAAGAUCUGGAAAAGAUCGUUUAUGUAAGAUCCCGAACGUCCCUUGCUUUUUGCCAAUCGACAGGAACCUAAUUUCGUGACAUGCAGCCACUGCACUUGAAACAUCAGUUGGACAUUAAGUGUUGCUAAGCUACCGUAUUGACUUAAUAGGCCAGAUUGGCAGGUCUUGGCUGUCGGUGGUAAGUCCUCUAUUUUAUGUGUACGAAUUCGACGUCUUCUUCCCCUCUCGCGGACAGCUUCCACUUAGGGUGCAUUCCAGUGCGGAUUAAGGCCAGGGAUUAACCCUCUGUCCUCCAUCGAUACUUGCUCAAACGGCUAAGUUGUUGGCAAACUUACCUCGCCUUUUCAACCUUUGGUUCCCUUAUGGAACAAAACUAUGUGGUAAGCUCGUACCAAGGAAUUCCGUGCCCUAAUCCCUGGCCUUAAUCCGCACUGGAAAUGCACCCUUAGCGAGAAACCUUGCGCCA
rnacentral:lncRNA from 1 species